CAGGUCGGUGGGUGUCUGAUGCUGGGGGUUGAAUUGCUAGAGAGACACCUUAAUAGAUAUCACGCUGUUCAAAGAGGGCGAGUACCGAGUAGCAGCACCUGGCCCUGUUCCCAGGGGCUUCUACGAGGAGUGGAAACGCUGGAACCCCGAGUAUCUCAGCCCCGCUACCUGUUUGCAAAGCCCAGCACCUCUGCUGCCUUCUCUGCGCAAAGGCCCCCACUUCUUUGGAAAACUGCGACUCCAGGCACGCAGGGUGAGUGCUUCAAAACGAGGCUUUGGGUUCUUUUUGGCGAAAGAGGAGGCCUGCAGCUCCGAAGGGUCAAAUGAAGCAAGUCCAGCUACUUACAAGAGACUUAGCUGAAAGCAGCAGUACCAGACAGACAGAAACUUACCUUUUCUCCUGGCCCAAACCAAGAUGCUCUUUAAAAACC